rnacentral:rRNA from 1 species
CCUACGGGAGGCAGCAGUGGGGAAUAUUGCGCAAUGGGCGAAAGCCUGACGCAGCGACGCAGCGUGAGGGAUGAAGGCCUUCGGGUUGUAAACCUCUUUCAGCGGGGACGAAGCGAAAGUGACGGUACCCGCAGAAGAAGCACCGGCUAACUACGUGCCAGCAGCCGCGGUAAUACGUAGGGUGCAAGCAUUGUCCGGAUUUAUUGGGCGUAAAGAGCUCGUAGGCGGCUUGUCACGUCGGGUGUGAAAACUUGGGGCUCAACCCCAAGCCUGCACUCGAUACGGGCUAGCUAGAGUGUUGCAGGGGAGACUGGAAUUCCUGGUGUAGCGGUGAAAUGCGCAGAUAUCAGGAGGAACACCGGUGGCGAAGGCGGGUCUCUGGGCAACUACUGACGCUGAGGAGCGAAAGCGUGGGGAGCGAACAGGAUUAGAUACCCUGGUAGUCCACGCCGUAAACGGUGGGCGCUAGGUGUGGGGAACCUUCCACGUUCUCUGUGCCGCAGCUAACGCAUUAAGCGCCCCGCCUGGGGAGUACGGCCGCAAGGCUAAAACUUAAGGAAUUGACGG